ensembl:snRNA U6 U6 spliceosomal RNA
GUGCUUGCCUUGGGGAGCACAUGCACUAGGAAAGAUCCAGAGAAGAUCAGCAUGGCCCCUGUGCAAGGGUGACACGCAAAUUCAUGCAGUGCUCUGGAUUAAC